CCUACGGGGGGCUGCAGUGGGGAAUAUUGGACAAUGGGGGGAACCCUGAUCCAGCCAUGCCGCGUGUGUGAAGAAGGCCCUCGGGUUGUAAAGCACUCUCAGUGAGGAAGAACGCCUGGUGGUUAAUACCCAUCAGGAAAGACAUCACUCACAGAAGAAGCACCGGCUAACUCCGUGCCAGCAGCCGCGGUAAUACGGAGGGUGCGAGCGUUAAUCGGAAUUACUGGGCGUAAAGCGCGCGUAGGUGGCUUGAUAAGCCGGUUGUGAAAGCCCCGGGCUCAACCUGGGAACGGCAUCCGGAACUGUCAAGCUAGAGUGCAGGAGAGGAAGGUAGAAUUCCCGGUGUAGCGGUGAAAUGCGUAGAGAUCGGGAGGAAUACCAGUGGCGAAGGCGGCCUUCUGGACUGACACUGACACUGAGGUGCGAAAGCGUGGGUAGCAAACAGGAUUAGAUACCCUAGUAGUC
rnacentral:rRNA from 1 species